rnacentral:rRNA from 1 species
CCUACGGGUGGCAGCAGUAGGGAAUCUUUCACAAUGGGCGAAAGCCUGAUGGAGCAACGCCGCGUGCAGGAUGAAGGCCUUCGGGUUGUAAACUGCUUUUAUAAGCGAGAAAUAUGAUGGUAACUUAUGAAUCAGGAUCGGCUAACUACGUGCCAGCCGCCGCGGUCAUACGUAGGAUCCGAGCAUUAUCCGGAGUGACUGGGUGUAAAGAGUUGCGUAGGUGGCAUAAUAAGUAGCUAGUGAAAUCUGGUGGCUCAACCAUUCAGACUAUUAGCUAAACUGUUAAGCUCGAGACCGUUAGGGGUAACUGGAAUUUCUAGUGUAGGAGUGAAAUCCGUAGAUAUUAGAAGGAACACCAAUAGCGUAGGCAGGUUGCUGGGACGGGUCUGACACUAAGGCACGAAAGCGUAGGGAGCAAACGGGAUUAGAUACCCUAGUAGUC